GAUGAACGCUGGCGGCGUGCCUAAUACAUGCAAGUCGAGCGAACAGAUGAGGAGCUUGCUCCUCUGACGUUAGCGGCGGACGGGUGAGUAACACGUGGAUAACCUACCUAUAAGACUGGGAUAACUUCGGGAAACCGGAGCUAAUACCGGAUAAUAUAUUGAACCGCAUGGUUCAAUAGUGAAAGACGGUUUUGCUGUCACUUAUAGAUGGAUCCGCGCCGCAUUAGCUAGUUGGUAAGGUAACGGCUUACCAAGGCAACGAUGCGUAGCCGACCUGAGAGGGUGAUCGGCCACACGAGAACUGAGACACGGUCCAGACUCCUACGGGAGGCAGCAGUAGGGAAUCUUCCGCAAUGGGCGAAAGCCUGACGGAGCAACGCCGCGUGAGUGAUGAAGGUCUUCGGAUCGGAAAACUCUGUUAUUAGGGAAGAACAAAUGUGGAAGUAACUAUGCACGUCUUGACGGUACCUAAUCAGAAAGCCACGGCUAACUACGUG
rnacentral:rRNA from 1 species